UUCCCAUCCGAUCACCGAAGUUAAGCAAUGUCGAACCUGGUCAGUAACUAAAUGGGUGAAAGCUUGGGAAUACCACGUGCUGGAA